GAAGAGAGAAGAGAGAAGAGAGAGAGAAGAGAGAAGAGAGAAGAAGAAGAAGAAGCCCUCAUGACUUUCUAGAAAAUAAGACCUUAUGACUUUUGCAUCCGUUGGCGACUCUAGGUAGUUUGCUGGGCCUGGUUCUGCGGACUUGCUUCUGUUUACUUUUGCACUCCAGGCCACGAUGACGCAGUAUCAGACCUGGGAGGAGUUCAGCCAUGCUGCCUGCUGAGAGAGAAGCUUUACCUCGCUGACCCUAUGAAGACACGUGUGGUUCUCAAAUACAGGCAUUCCGAUGGAAACUUGUGUAUUAAAGUAACAGACGAUCGAGUUAGUUUGGUGUCUAAAACAGAGCAAGCUCAACAUGUAAGGAAGAUCCGAGAAAUUCUACAGUCAACUAAUGCGACUGAUGGUAGCCAAGGAAUCCCCGCAGUGUUACCGUGGAAACUGAGUGAAUGGUCUGAAAUGAAGACUUUGUCAUGUGCUUAGGAAGUAAAUAUCUUUUGAAGUAGAGAAAGUGUUGGGACAGAAAAUACUUUAUGUCACUAAGUGGACUAUUCAGAAGCUUAGAGGUCAUUUUUCGUAAUUUUCUUUUGAAUGUUUGCUUUAGAGAGCUAGGAAUGCGAAUGUUUUCAGUCAGAAAGCCUGUAUUUACUUUUGGAAACUGAACAAGCAAUGCAUCUGUCUCGGGAACUUUGCAGAUUAUUUGAUGUUAGGUAAAACGCAUAAUUGUUUCUUUGGCAGAUUUCUAUCAGUACCUUGAAAAUGAGAUAUUAAGAAAAGACAAUUCUUCCUUAAAUUAAGUUCGCCUGUCUUUAAAAGAACUUUAAAUGUAACCAUUUUGUUGGAUCGAGGUAUUUCUUUUGGAGCAUAAAAUGUAUGCUGUCGAUGACCAAUAAAUAUAAAAUAUGGUCAUUGGAAUUAA